rnacentral:rRNA from 1 species
UACGUAGGGCGCAAGCGUUGUCCGGAAUUAUUGGGCGUAAAGAGCUCGUAGGCGGCUUGUCACGUCGGAUGUGAAAGCCCGGGGCUUAACCCCGGGUCUGCAUUCGAUACGGGCAGGCUAGAGUUCGGUAGGGGAGAUCGGAAUUCCUGGUGUAGCGGUGAAAUGCGCAGAUAUCAGGAGGAACACCGGUGGCGAAGGCGGCUCACUGGCCCGGUACUGACGCUGAGGCACGAAAGCGUGGGGAGCAAACAGG